rnacentral:misc_RNA from 1 species
CGACUUUGAAUCAAAACCUCAAAUCCAAGUUCUAGAGAAUUUCGUAUUUGAAUCAAAACCGAAGAACUCGUUACUUGGUUGAGAGAAAAGUUGAGGUUUUGAAUCAAAUUCAAAACUGGAGGUUGAAUCACUGGAUUUUGCGGUAGUGAGAGGGAUGAUUUGAGGUUUAGCUUCGAAUUCAAAAAAAUCAUCAUCAAUAUUGUCAAAGUUAAAG